CGUCGCAAGACAGUUUGGUCCCUAUCUGAUGUGGGCGUUGGAUACUUGAAGGGAGCUGUCCCUAGUACGAGAGGACCGGGAUGGACGCACCGCUAGUGUACCAGUUGUUCCGCCAGGGGCAUCGCUGGGUAGCUAUGUGCGGAAGGGAUAACCGCUGAAAGCAUCUAAGUGGGAAGCCCACCCUGAGAUGAGGUAUCCCGGGGACUUUGAUCCCCCUGAAGGGCCCUUGUAGACUACGAGGUUGAUAGGCCGGGUGUGUAAGCGCAGCAAUGCGUUUAGCUAACCGGUACUAAUUGCCCGUGCGGCUUGAUCAC
rnacentral:rRNA from 1 species